rnacentral:rRNA from 1 species
UUCUUCUUUAGUACGAGAGGAUUUAGAAGGACGUCCCUCUGGUGUUCCUGUUGUCGCGCUAGCGGCACGGCAGGAUAGCUAAGGACGGAAAGGAUAAACGCUGAAGGCAUCUAAGCGUGAAGCCCGCCUCGAGAUUAGGUUUCGUAGAUCAACGAUCGAAAGUCCCCUGGGAGACGACCAGGUUGAUAGGCCGGAUGUGUAAGCACAGUAAUGUGUUCAGCUGACCGGUACUAACGGACGA